UACGAAGGGGGCUAGCGUUGCUCGGAAUCACUGGGCGUAAAGGGUGCGUAGGCGGGUUUUUAAGUCAGGGGUGAAAUCCUGGAGCUCAACUCCAGAACUGCCUUUGAUACUGAAAAUCUUGAGUUCGGGAGAGGUGAGUGGAACUGCGAGUGUAGAGGUGAAAUUCGUAGAUAUUCGCAAGAACACCAGUGGCGAAGGCGGCUCACUGGCCCGAUACUGACGCUGAGGCACGAAAGCGUGGGGAG
rnacentral:rRNA from 1 species